CAUCGUAAAGUAGAAUCUGAAGGAAGGAGUAGACAAACCUCUGGUCUGACGAACGGAAAUCACAUUAAGGCUGUAGUAAAGGAUAAGUCUGUCAUACAAGCCGAAGUGCGAAAACUACCCGGAAGUACUUCGCGGUAAAUAUGGCAGACAGAUGGAGGGGGAGAUU
rnacentral:ncRNA from 1 species